UUGGAGGGCAAGUCUGGUGCCAGCAGCCGCGGUAAUUCCAGCUCCAAUAGCGUAUAUUAAAGUUGUUGCAGUUAAAAAGCUCGUAGUUGAAUUUCGGGGUCAUCAGGUCGGUCGUGCCACUGGUAUGAACUGGCCUCGCUGAUUCCUCCCUCUUGACGAACUGUGAUGCCAUUAAUUUGGUGUCGCAGGGAAUCAGGACUGUUACUUUGAAAAAUUAGAGUGUUUAAAGCAGGCUCACGCUUGAAUACAUUAGCAUGGAAUAAUGAAAUAGGACGUCUGAUUCUAUUUUGUUGGUUUCUAGGAUUGACGUAAUGAUUAAUAGGGAUAGUUGGGGGCAUUAGUAUUCAAUUGUCAGAGGUGAAAUUCUUGGAUUUAUUGAAGACUAACUACUGCGAAAGCAUUUGCCAAGGAUGUUUUCAUUAAUCAAGAACGAAAGUUAGGGGAUCGAAGACGAUCAGAUACCGUCGUAGUCUUAACCAUAAACUAUGCCGACUAGGGGAUCGGAUGAUGUUAAUUUUUAAUG
rnacentral:rRNA from 1 species